CAACCAUUAAACUGUCAUAACUGCCCAACCAUCCCCGGCUCAAUAUGCAGAGCUGUUCCUCAAUAAAUGGGCAUUUUCUCCCACGAUGAGCCUUGAUAGUUCUUUCACCUUCCUUUUUCUACUAGCACCCCUCUACAAUAAGUAUUGAAGAGGAAGGAGAGGGGAUGGAGAAUGGAGAGAGCUGAUCAGAUCUUGGAAGGAUGAUUUUAGUUUUGAACAUAUUUAUAUUGAAGAACUAGAGGGACAACUAGGUGAAGACAGUUGACAGCUAAGCACAGAAAAACAGAUCUAGAAUUUACAUAAACAUAAAUAAUACUCAAAACCCUGAAGAUAGAAGUUGUUAGUCAUUUUCAGGAAAGACAUUUCAGUAUACUCUGGAGAGCAUCACCCCAUAAAGCUGAUGGGUGACUUAGUACGGAAAAAGUGUCAGCAACUAUAGAGACUUAGGAAGUUUAUGGUGAAAUGAAAUAGAAAUGUAAAUGGAGCUUUUGAUUAUAUUUUUUGAGUCAUAACCAAAUAAUGAAUUUAAAACAAUGUAUUACAGAUACAAGUAAAGGAAUAACAUUUAGCUUGUGAGGGAGACAAGCAUUCUGGAGUUCCAAUCUCAAAGCACACCCCAGACUUCCUGCCUGGAAAUCAGUGGGACUGUACACUAACUAACAUUAUAGGGCCAGCUCUGCAGCCCUAGCCUUCUGAAUCUGGAGCUUCAGAGUCAGGAUCCAAUAUAUUCUGAAAGCAGAAUUUGGGAGCAAAGGAAAACCUUCCUGCAUACCCACACAAGCCAAGGGCAUCACUGAAGAAAGAAAAGAGAACAAAAAGAAAAAGAGGAAUUUCUUCUUCUUACACAAACAAGAAACAUAUUCACCCCAUAGCACCAUCGUUCUUUCUGUAAAUGAUAAAUUUCAGUCAGCAUAACAGGAAAAAGAUGGAUCCAGCAUUCUCCUUCAGUUAUUCCCCCUUUUUCAAGCAAUCCUGACUCCAAUUUUGAACCCCUACUAUCCCUACCCUACUACCACUAAAUAAAAGAGGUAUGAAGUAAUGAAGUUCUGCUUUACACAGCAAAUUACUCAAAGAAGAGUAAUAUGAAUUUAAUGACCAAAUGUUUCUCUAGUUUCUGGAGGUGUUUCCCUCCUUCUUUCUCUCAUUCACCUCUCAUCUGCUAGUUGGCUCUUCCUAAUUUAUUUUGCACUGCUUUUCUGAGUCUGCCCGAGCCCUGACUUCUGGCUCCCACUAUUCAUAGUUACCUGUUCUUUCCUUUACUUUCUUGACCUAUGAUUUCUCACACAUCCUCUGCACUCCCUUUCUCCCACUAGGUACCUGACAUCUACAUGAGUUUGGGUCACCUCAAGGACAAGAGGAAAAACAUAAUCCAUUCCUGGCAGAAGAAAGAAUAAACAAAUUUGGGGGUUUGGAUCGACCGACACCCAGUUCUCCGCCCCUCCAACCCACCCCUCCAACAUUCCUGGGACUUUUCCAAGCUGCGCUGCUGAACUCCCAGGAGGAGGACUCCUAGAAACGCCAGUGAAUCCAAACGGCUUGGAGCUGUACCUUCCAGUGACCUGAGCCAGUCUGGACGUCCUUUAACCAUAAUGCUUAUUUAUCCAGGUCUAGCCCAGGGUGAAUCAGCCUUAGGACUCCAAGCGUUUUAUGCAAAUGAGCAUUCACUUGACGCGAGGGCUGCAACUUGUCCCCAAUCUCAUCCCCCCCUUGCCCCAGCGCCUCCCUCUACUCAACCUGUGCGAGCUGGAAGUUUUAUGAAGUUUCCAUCUUUUGUGCCCGUCUCCACUUGCUCCCCAAACCCCACAACAAGUAAGAACGACGAUCUUCCUGGAAUCCA